rnacentral:tRNA from 1 species
GGGGAUUUAGCUCAGUGGUAGAGCUCUUGCCUAGCAAGUACAAGGCCCUGGGUUCGGUCCCCAGCUCCG